GCCACGCAGCGGGGGUCCAGGCCACAGUGGGACAGCCAAGGGGCCUUUGAGGAUUUUAGAACCAAGCACACAGGGCGGUGUAAGGGUUGAAAUAAAAAGGGACCAGAGGCUUUGAAAUCCUUUCUGUGGCUUAACUUAUUAAAGAGCCUUCAGGGAAAUGAAGCACGACCUCUGUUUACAAAGUUCCCAGACUACCUCCCGAGGGGUGAGAUGACUGGCAUUUUACUACCUUAUUUACACUUUGCUGUAGAUUCUAAAUCUUCUGUAAUAAACAUACUUUUAUAACCAGGAAAAAUAACUGAUAAUCCAAAGACACAAGCAGAAAGUAGAUAUCGUCAGAGCUUCCUCGGAUCACAGCGGCCUUGGGUACCAGGGAUGACAGACCGGCGGGGCUGCCAUCCUGUCUCCGUCCUCCACUGGCCCCCAAGCUGCGGCGGGCAAGUCCCAACUUCAAAGCCUCAGUAUGCUCGGCUGUCAAAUGGGAAUGACAGUGUCGGCCUGGGCUGCACAAGAGAGAUACCCACGAUAAUAAAACUUGCAUCCCAGGGCCGGGGAGACUCGGUCCCAGAGUGGGCCUGGGAGAGGUUUCUGAGAGCGCUCCCCACGCGGGAGAAGUAGGAGCGCUUCUCAGGCAGCACGGGGCUGCUCUGUCCAAGAGAGAUAUUCCAGGAAUGGAAAUGAGACACAGCCAUCUUAAUCCCCAGCUAACCACAAAACCGUCCCUUUAGCCCGAGCGUGGGUGCCCCUGAUCUGCACAGCGCUGCUGGGGGAGGCCCCAUUCCUGUCCUCAGCCUGCAGAGGGAGGCUUGUUGACCAGUCUCCUCUGCAGGCAUCUGUCCACCCAGGAAACACCGGCCCAAAGGGCCAGGCGGCAAAUGGGAGCAGAAGGCCCCAGGCUCUCUCUGCCUGCAGGACGUGUGGAACCCUCCAGUGCCGGCCCAGCCUCUGCAGCUGAGGAACAUCACAGGUGUCCUAGAUGCCGUUCGGGGUGGGAGAUUAACACCCUGGCUUCACUGCAACCAAACCUCCAGCCUUCGGAAGAAAGGACAAGGCCUGACUCUAGCCCAGGCUCCGUCCUCGGUCCCACUUCCACUUGGGGUUAUCUGAGCACCCGGAAGAAAGGACAAGGCCUGACUCUAGCCCAGGCUCCGUCCUCGGUCCCCACUUCCACUUGGGGUUAUCUGAACACCCGGAAGAAAGGACAAGGCCUGACUCUAGCCCAGGCUCCGUCCUCGGUCCCACUUCCACUUGGGGUUAUCUGAGCACCCUCUGCUCUUGCUUUGGGGCUUUAAAUGAAAAUAACUACCGUUGAACAAAGCCUUGGCAUCUAGGAUGGGAUCCAGAAAAGGCAGGACGGUGCAGCCACCGGCCUUGGAGUCCAGGGGCACUCACAGCACACAGGUCACACUCUCUGAGACAACCAUGCUUAAAUGACUGUCGAUCCAGUAACUUCAACACUCAGGGCCUCCCUCCUCUCCCGCAUGCAGACACAGACGACAACAAGAGGUCCCAGCACUGUGCCUGGCGAGCGGGAGCCCUCAAAUUACGCCCCAUCUUGAGGCUCAAAGCAAUCACUAUUUCUCUCCAUCCAAGGCAAAGAAAAAAGCCUUCACUUCUUGAAUAAGUUCUAAACCCUCUUCUGUAAAUGCAGCCUCCAUAGCAGGGGCCCGUGGGCAGCAGCUGGUCCUGUCACUCAUUUGAAGAAGUAGGAAUGCACAAAUCCCCAAUGAGACCCGCAGGUCCCAUCAGCGCUCCUCAGCUGGGGGAGGAGGGGGUGUGGUUUGCAAGUGGCCACGCCCUGGCCCUUACCCAUGACCAAGGUGAGUCCGGGGGGCUCUUGCCCUGUGAGGGCUCCCAGGUGGAGCCGCAGGCGCGGUCCUUUUCCUCCAUGGCCGGGCCCGAGGGAUGCCAGCCGCCUCCUCACCCAGUGCCCGGAGAGCAGUGUCUGCAGCGGCUAAUUUCAGGAGCUGGGAGGCUGGGCUGGCGACACUGAGCCCAGAGCAGGCGGCUUCUCUUUACACCCAGGAGCCUCGCCAAGUCACAAGGCUCAGGAAAAGAGCAGGGUGCUGAAUUGCAAAUCCUCUCCCACCUGGGACUGGCUAAGAAAACAACACCGGGACACCUCCCGCUCCCUGAAGGAUGCAGACGUUUCCCACAGAUGCCAGUUUCUCUAGACUUUUUGAGAAGGACACCCGGUGAGGGGGCGUGACCCCUGCUGGCCGGCGACUGGCCAUUCUCUCCUCACCAGCUCUGAGGAAUCAGGAGUGAGACUCAGAGAUUGACUAACUUCCCCAAGGUCACAGCAACAGAGGACAGAACUGGGAUUCAAACCCACGAGUGCUGCUUCCAGAGGGAAUUUGAGGGGAGGAGGGGAUUUAAGGGAGGGACCACCUCACAUGCUGGGAACCUUGCAAAAAAAGCUGUGCAGAUCAUUUCUUCAUUUUCUAUUCACUUUCUUCCCUGUGCGUCCCACAAAAGCUACGGGGAAUCCGUUCUCUCCGUGCCUGGGCACCCCACGGGGAGUCAGGAAGGCUGGGGUUGGUGGCCUCCCUUCCCCAGUGGGCCCCAGUCACCUCCAUCAUGCUCAGCGGCAGCAUCGCGACCAUUCGCUGGAUUUGAAUGCCCCCACACACCAGGAAGCUGCUUUCUGGGCUGUUGUGGGGAUACUGAGGCCAGGCUCGGAGAGCCCUUGACACAAUGCCUGGAGUGCAUCAGACCCUCAAAAAGAUGUAACAACUGGGCUUCCCUGGUGGCGCAGUGGUUGGGAGUCCGCCUGCCAAUGCAGGGGGCGCGUGUUCGAGCCCUGGUCCGGGAGAAUCCCACAUGCUGCGGAGCGGCUGGGCCCGUGAGCCACAACUACUGAGCCUGCGCGUCUGGAGCCUGUGCUCCGC